AUUGAACGCUGGCGGCAUGCCUAACACAUGCAAGUCGAACGAGUGGCGGACGGGUGAGUAAUGUCUGGGCAACUGCCUGAUGGAGGGGGAUCACUACUGGAAACGGUAGCUAAUACCGCAUACCAUCCGAUUUGCCCAGAUGGGAUUAGCUUGUUGGUGGGGUAACGGCUCACCAAGGCGACGAUCCCUAGCCGGUCCGAGAGGAUGACCAGCCAAACUGGAACUGAGACCCGGCCCAGACUCCUACGGGAGGCAGCAGGGGGGAAUAUUGCACAAUGGGGGCAAGCCUGAGGCAGCCAUGCCGCGUGGAUGAAGAAGGCCUUCGGGUUGUAAAGUACUUUCAGCGGGGAGGCGUUACCCGAAGAAGAAGCACCGGCUAACUCCGUGCCAGCAGCCGCGGUAAUUC
rnacentral:rRNA from 1 species